rnacentral:rRNA from 1 species
GAUCCUGGCUCAGGACGAACGCUGGCGGCGCGCCUAACACAUGCAAGUCGAACGAGCGAGAGAGAGCUUGCUUUCUCGAGCGAGUGGCGAACGGGUGAGUAACGCGUGAGGAACCUGCCUCAAAGAGGGGGACAACAGUUGGAAACGACUGCUAAUACCGCAUAAGCCCACGACCCGGCAUCGGGUAGGGGGAAAAGGAGCAAUCCGCUUUGAGAUGGCCUCGCGUCCGAUUAGCUAGUUGGUGAGG